rnacentral:lncRNA from 1 species
CACCUGAAUAUAUAGAAAAAACCCUAAUAGGAUCAGUAAAACUAUGGUUUGCAAAUUUAACUGAAAAUAGCAAAAAAGUAUUAAGAACUAAUAAACCUAUAGAAGGAACAUCAUCGACAACAACUAAACUAACACCUAUCGAAUUAUUGAAAAAAUAUGAAACAGCUAUAAAAGAUGAAUUUGGUAGUACGACAACAAUC